UACCAAUGUCACCUUGAUGCGUAUACAUAUGUACAUACAUUCCACUAUUAGAAGCCUAGAAGUUUUUCAGCCAUACAUACUUUGCAUACUUUCUCUAACUGUUCUCUCCUGAAUACAAUUGCAGAGCAUAUAGAAAAAUAAGAGCAGAAAUGCAAUUAUUGAGUACAACACCUGAUCACUUAGCUCAGCUUAUAUUUCAAAUGAUACCAGCAACUUGAUUAAAUUUCAUAACAGAAUUGCUUACCGCCUGUCUUUCCAAGCAUGACCGGUAUAUACAUACAUACUACAUAUAAUAGGGGUAUUCAUUUAAGCGUCGAAAUUUAUGAACCGCUGAUAUUAAAACUUUUACCUGCCCUAUUACUUGAACGCACCGCGAAAAUUGUUUGUCUAAUUCCAUCAGAUAGGGAAGCUUUCUGCCUUCGCUUAACUCUACGUCUAACUUAAAAACAAAAAAAAAAAAAAAGUGCUACUACCUAUCGCUCGGAUGAGAUGUUUUGUGUUAAAUUGGAAUAAUUAAUAAAGCUAAAAAUAAAGUAACAGAAGAAUUUCAUUUAAGUAAAAGAAGAAUAUUAAGACACUUGUUGCAACGAGAUUCCAAUUUAUG